CCUACGGGGGGCAGCAGUGGGGAAUAUUGCACAAUGAGCGCAAGCCUGAUGCAGCCAUGCCGCGUGUGUGAAGAAGGCCUUCGGGUUGUAAAGCACUUUCAGCGGGGAGGAAGGCGCUAAGGUUAAUAACCUUGUCGAUUGACGUUACCCGCAGAAGAAGCACCGGCUAACUCCGUGCCAGCAGCCGCGGUAAUACGGAGGGUGCAAGCGUUAAUCGGAAUUACUGGGCGUAAAGCGCACGCAGGCGGUCUGUCAAGUCGGAUGUGAAAUCCCCGGGCUCAACCUGGGAACUGCAUUCGAAACUGGCAGGCUAGAGUCUUGUAGAGGGGGGUAGAAUUCCAGGUGUAGCGGUGAAAUGCGUAGAGAUCUGGAGGAAUACCGGUGGCGAAGGCGGCCCCCUGGACAAAGACUGACGCUCAGGUGCGAAAGCGUGGGGAGCAAACAGGAUUAGAUACCCCAGUAGUC
rnacentral:rRNA from 1 species